rnacentral:misc_RNA from 1 species
ACAUCGCGUCGCCACACCUCGACUCUCCUCCGCUCUUCCCCGCUCUCCCCAUCUGACCCCCCUCCUGCCUACUGCCCCCUCUCUCCUCGUCCGCUGUGCUGCGUCGUCUGGGCCCCACCCCACCCCUGCCGUUGCCUCUCCCGUCUGUCUCGGCGCCGGCCUUCUCAGUGUUUCGCUCUUGUGCGUUGUCGCCCAUGGCGUACAAUAUCACCGUCAUUGUCUACGUGGUCGUGCAGUUCGUGGCGUUUCUUCUGGUGCUGGCAGGAACGCCCCUGGACAUCUUUCGCGGUGUGGCUCCGGAGAUUUUGGGGCACCGUAUGGUUUGCAUCACACUGUUUGGUAUGAAAGUGGACUGCUACAAUAAGACGUAUUUAGAAACAACUGAGGAGUUGUGGGCGGAGUGUUUUAACCGCCUGAACCGCUUCCACGCUGCACAGGCGUUCGCUAUCAUCUCCAUCCUUGUAUACUUUGCGGCAUUCGCGUUUGGGUUGCUUCUGCUCUUCUGCUGCCCCUGCUUGCGUUGGGUCUGCCUGGCACUCAACGUUGCUGGCAUCCUCACCUUGUGCGUUGUGUGGGCGGCCAUGGUGGUGACGUACUAUACAGAUGAUAGCGCAGACUGCGUAAAGGCCAAAGACGAAUUCACCUUCGGUAUCGGCUUUGACCUCUUGAUGACGGCUUGGUGCCUGGAUAUCAUCGCUGCGAUUUUGAUGCUCUUGUACGCGGUGAAUUAUUCUCGGAUGAACGAAAACGAGGCACUGCAACAAGGAAAACAAUAGAACUGGAGAUACGAGGAACGAGCGGAGGGCGGGCUUGAGAGCGGCGCGGCCCCUCCCCCACACCGGCGUCCUCGUGGUGGAGCCGGUGUCGGCGAGGAUGAGGGUGCACAAGCUGCGGGUUCCCGUGUGUGCCCUUCGCCGGCCCAGCCCUCUCGCUCCCUGUCGUGUGUGCGUGCGCGUGCGCGGGCAGCAGCGGCACCGCCGUGCACAGGCACCGCUGCCGAGGGGCGAUUGCAGCACUUCCCCCAUGCCUGCGUGUGAUACACGGCGGCUGCGUGUGUGCAGGCGCAUGCGCCCCUGUGCCCUCCUCCCCUUCUUCCGUGAGCGGCCCCGCGGCCUCGCUCCCUAACGCUGCCGUUGUUCGCGGGUGCCGCCCCACGCUCUCGCCUUACUCGACGCUCGUCUCUUUCGAGCUCGCUCAUGCUUGCUGUUCUCUCCUGCGCGCAGAGAGAGGUGCGUGGUGUGUGCGUGUGCGUGCGCCUCUGCGCCUCCCUCCGCUGCUCGCGCCCUCCCUGUGCGCGUGUGCUGGCGGAGGCGGCUGGCUGUGGCGACGACGCAGGCACGUGCAGCAGCCGUGCAGCACAGCAGGCGCGUACACGCAUACACACCUAUACACGCGGGAACGGGACUGCAGGCGAGGGGCAGGACCGGAGAAUGCGCGGCGGCACGAGCGAGUGCGACGGUGGAGCGGAGCAGCGGCGGCGCUGCUUUCCUGCUCGCUCCUCUGGCGUCUGGCUCGAGCCCGUCUGCGUGUGCGCCCCCUGUGUCGCUGUGUCUCCUCGCCUCUCUCCUGCGCGAUUUGUUUCGAUGGCUUCGUUGCUGACGCACCCCACGGAGUCCUCCAGGCUCCGCCGUGUGGAGUUGCCACGCCGUAUGUGACGGGUUGCAGCGCACCGACGCGACUGUGGGGAGAGAAGCACUGCAUCCAGGUCGACUACACUGCAGGGCCUCACAGGGCCCUGACCGGAGGCUGGGCAGCAUUCUCCCUCGGCUCGUGCGGCACGUAGAGCCACCGCUCCCCACGAACGCCCUGCUACCCUUUGCUACCCCCUCCCCACCGACAGAGGCCAGCGCCUCCGUCAUGGAGCACGACCCUGAGGGGGCGGCCCCGCUGGGAGCGCGGCGUGCCGUGCGCCCCGGUGCGUGUGGCGCCGAUGCAGCGGCAGGACGGCUCGUCCUCGACGACGCGGAUGUGGCCGCCGUGCCACAGGGCGUAGGCGGGCCGUGGCUGUACGCGCGCAUCUGCCGGCUUGUGCGUGGUGGCGUGGAGGCGGUGAGAAGGAAGUGCAUGCCUCGCGGACUCGGACAGACAUGCGAAUCAGCACAUCUAAACACAAGCAAAACGACGCGUGCAUAUAUGCACCGAUAUCUAUAUAUAUAUAUGGGUGUGUGGAUGUCUGGAACGACAAAACCGCCAAACGCCUGUUAUUACGCUGUCCUCGCCUGGCAGGGCGGGGGGCGUGCGUGCGCUUGCUUCUCCUCUCUUGCUUGUCCUGUGUUUCCUUUGCGGCACGCCUUCCUGCGCGCGUGCCUGGUAUUUAUCAUGCUUGCUUCCGUUGUCCGACUCGUUCAAACCAACAGCGUCACCGCCGCCACUGCCGCCCCCCUCCUCCGCGAGAGGGCAGGGUAGGGGGUGCAGGCGGCGCUCCUUGCUGCUGCCCGUGGUGGGGCCGCGCCAUGUACGUGCAGGUGUGCGCGCGCCCUCCGGCAGCGCAGCCGCUUUCUGCGCCGAUGCCUCAUCAUGUGCCCCACUCUUCUCUCUGCUGCACGUUGGUGCGCGGGCCAUGGGUGCUCCUCGAGGAUGCGCGGUGGUGCAGAGGAGCCGAUCAUCCGUGAGCGGCGCAGACACGCACACGCGCACACGAGGCACUCACAUGCGCACCUGAUGGCGCUCAUACUCGUCCAGGGGUGAGGCGCGAUGCGGAGAAGCACGGCGUAGAGUCUGUGUGCUGUGCGGCUGCUUGCCCGCUGGAGCGCUCUUGGCGGCGUUGGCUGUGUGAGGGGUGGCAAUGGUGGAGGGCGGCUGGUGUGUGUGUGUGCGAGCGCGUGAGUCCGGGGAGUGGAGGGGUGUGUUCAUUGGUGGAGGAGCAUGCUGACGAGCUGCGGCUCGCGUGCCCGCCGCCCUCGGCCCGGCGCCACGCAGACGCCGUCUGUGCUGCCCAUGUGUGCUGCUCUUCGUUCCCCCACCCCCUUCGCGGCGGUGCCGUCUCCGUGGAUGCUGGGUCCGUGUGCACCCGCCGCGCAUCUGCCUGCUAUGUGCAGUGAACGGGAUGGGCGGUGUCGGCGGUUCGUGGCGGCGGUGGCGCUGCGUGGGUGGGCGGUGCUGCGGCCCCCUGCACACACGUACAGAGAGGCCCCUCCGCCCCUCUCGCACCCUCCCCCUGCCCCCUGCCCCCUGCGCACAUGCGGCUCGAGCGGCCUGGCACAGGCGCGCCUACAGGACACCGCGGAAAGGCGAAAACAGAAGCGAGAAGCUGCCCACGAUAAGCCGUGUAGCUGCGGCUCUUGGCGCUGCAGCUCCCUCGUCCUCGCUGUGCGCCGCGCCGCUACGUGGCACCCGCGGCUAGGCGACGGCGUGCAUGGGCGG